UACAGAGGGGGCAAGCGUUAUUCGGAAUUAUUGGGCGUAAAGGGCGCGUAGGCGGCAUGGCAAGUGGAUGGUGAAAUCCCUCGGCUUAACCGAGGAACUGCCGUCCAAACUGCUUCGCUUGAGACCGGGAGAGGUGAGUGGAAUUCCCAGUGUAGCGGUGAAAUGCGUAGAUAUUGGGAGGAACACCAGUGGCGAAGGCGGCUCACUGGACUGGUACUGACGCUGAGGCGCGAAAGCGUGGGGAGCAAACGGG
rnacentral:rRNA from 1 species